rnacentral:rRNA from 1 species
UACGUAGGGUGCGAGCGUUGUCCGGAAUUACUGGGCGUAAAGAGCUCGUAGGUGGUUUGUCGCGUUGUUCGUGAAAACUCACAACUCAAUUGUGGGCGUGCGGGCGAUACGGGCAGACUAGAGUGCGGUAGGGGAGACUGGAAUUCCUGGUGUAGCGGUGAAAUGCGCAGAUAUCAGGAGGAACACCAAUGGCGAAGGCAGCUCGCUGGAACGGUACUGACGCUGAGGCGCGAAAGCGUGGGGAGCGAACAGG